UUUUUGGGAUCACGGGCGCCGGCUAGGGCUGGCUCUUCGACUUCCUGCCGAUCGCCGGCAGAUCAAAGGGCCUCCGCCCUGAGCGCCUCCGCCCAAAGUGCCGGACGGCAGCAACCCCGCCGCAGCCGUCCUCCCGCGAAUCCCCAGCGUCGCCCUCGCCUCCCGCCGAACCCGCCCUUCGCCGGCGCCACGAGUGGCGCACGCCUCACCACCCGCGAACCCGACCUGCGCCGCCGCCCCGCCCUGCGGGCUUAGGCCGCCGCCGCCAGCGCGCGGGCAGCGGGCUCCGGCUGAGAUGGGGCCAUGGGGGAAGAAGAAUGGCAGCCGGCCCCGCCCCGAGGCAGAUCCGCAGCCGGCGCAGCACAAUGCCUCAGCAAGGAAGGCCGACGCCCCAGCGCUCCGUCCCUCGAAGACCAGCGCCGUCCUCCACAUAUAGCGCCAGCCGGUUCACGCGGCGAACGGCGACCGGCACAACCGGCGCUGCCCCUCGGUACAAGCCUACAAGAGGCUGCACCCUGUCCAGUGCGGCCCCUCCCACAGGCCGAUUUAUGCAUAUGCAUCGGGAGAUUCGUAGAUGUACGCCCAGAACUGGAUAAGCUUGCAGAACAUGGAUAUUUGGUGAAAGAUGACAGUACUAGCCUUUUGGUUCUGAACUUAUUUGUUUCACCUUCUCAUUGUCCUAUUAUGAAUUUCAUCUCUGCUUGGCUAUAGGUAUUCCAGAAGGAUAUAGCUAGCUGAAAGAAUUAUGUUUGUGUUUUCUUUGGAUGUUUGAUGAAAUUCAUAAUAGGGAUGUCGUCUCUUGUUUGUGUAGCCAGAGAAUGGUGUGCGUCACCUUCUCACCCUCCUUUCCUAUUUUUUGGAGUAUUUACUGCUUUUGUUCUUUUUAGUUCACUUCCCAUUUUCCUCAAAUUGACUAUGCCUUGGGUUACUAACCUGCUCAUCAUGCUGCCCGACAUUGACACUGGGAGUACCAGCCUGCUCAUCAUGCAAAGUUGUAUUGUUUCAUGGAUAAGCCUUACAAUACACAAUUUGCAAAGUUGUAUUGUUCAUACAUACAGGAGCUGCGCCAACCUCACUGUUCUUCUCCAUAGAGGACAAGCUACUCUUGCGUAUGGAUUUCCACAGUUGGUUGCAUUUCUUUUUUCAAGGAAGCUAUUAUGACAUUGGCAAGGCUGGGUUUGUAAGCAGCAGUACACAAAUUAGAUGUGGCACGUGAAAGGUGAGAAGUGCUUCCAAUUCUUCAUGGUUUCAACAACAGUCUUCCAAUUCUUUUAUAUUUUGGUUCCAGAUGCUUUGUUGCUCAUUUGCAUUGCGAAAGCAUUUCUUCUUUUGUAGUGGAAUUGACAAUGUAAGGAUUCCAUUCGGUUUUUCCAAUUCAUACUAACUAAUCUAUACUCGGCAAUCCCAUUUCUUUGCAUGCUUUGGUUUCUAUAUAAAAGAUAUUAGAGUUGCAAUCCCAUUUAGAGUUUGAAAAAUUACAGCACUUGUUGGAGUGCACGGGAAUUAAACUUUGGCUCAAGUUCCUCCUCCCCGCUACCUUUUGCUCGAUCCACGGCACCGCUGCUCAGGAACAUUGCUGCUGCUGGUUGAAGAGAGGAGGAGCCGUACGGAGACAUGUUACCUGUACGAACCACCAGUACAAAUACAACCUGCACUCUCUUGUGCUCCUGCUGUUUUAUAUGAUACAGUGAUUUGCAGGGACAUUUUGCAUGAUGCCUACUGUAUUGUUUUAAAUCUGUUAAUAGUCAAAUAGAGUUUCUAACCUAUGUACAUGUUGAGAGAUUCCUCGAGGCCACCACGCCUGUGGUUAUGCCCAGCUGCUCCUCCAAGGUAAUGGAAGAUACACCUCUUCGUUUUAGUAGUUUGGUUGUUCUUAAUUCAACGAUGUACUGCUAGAACCACAAAAUGAACAUCUGCAAUUAGUUGUCUUACAGUAUUGUAAACAGUGAACAUUAGCUCAAGUUUCAGUUGUGCAGAAGCUUUUUAUGUUAAGAUUGUUCUUCUAGCGGUGAUUGUGUUCAUAUGCUCAUUCAAUAUUUGUAAAAACAAAGACUGAACAAAACUGGUUUACAAGUUCAGAGUUCAGAUGCGGAUCAGUUUCAGUCCCUGUUGUACCAUUUGAGAUGUUCUUCACCUGCUUUUGUUCUGCAUUACAUUCAGAUUGAUCUGUAGCACAGCAUUGUCCUGAAAUUUUACUUUUCGUAAGGUUCUUAGGUACCCCCAUUGUCCUAUAAAUUCUCUUGACUGGUUUUGCAAUGUGAUAAUGUCUUUUCGUUUACUAAUAGGUUGAGAAUAUCAUCAUUGUUCCUCUUCAUUCCGUACUUAUAUUCUACUUGUCUUCCCAGAUAUGAGACCUCCGCACAUUCUAGAUAACUAUAUUGUUAGAAAUUGAUCUAAGCUGUUAGGGAUCGGUAAUUUUUUAUUACAAUUAUCUCGCUGCUAUUUCUUUCAAGCAAAAUUAUCUUGCAUAACCUUCUGGAAUCUGAGGUUUAUCUGAAGCUAAAGUUGAGAUGAUCAGUGAGCCAGCUUAAGAACUUCUGGUGUGAUCAUUUAAAUUGUUUUUUACCUAAAAGCUUUCGUGCAAUAAGUUUUGUGUAAUAUGCUGUGCUAAAAUUGCCUUGUUUAUCUUUUGUCACGGAGCCAGGGCUUUAUGUCUGGAAGUGAUAUUCUUAAGGUAAGAAAGAUGGAUUUAAGCUACUGACCAGUGUACAGUCCAAUGUAGGAUGAUUGUCCACUUUCUUUUUAUGCAUAUUCUCUUAAUUCACUGUCCGUUUCGAAACAAAAAUUAUCAGACUAUUUUUUCUAUUACUUGAUUCUACUUUUUGUACUUCUAAAAUGCACCCGUAGCGUUAGCACGGGCACCCAUAGGUAAAGUCCAAUGUCGAAGUGCACAUGUCCGUAGUCUCCAUUCUGCUCUUAUAUCUAUCUAUAUAUGAGAUUAUUAAAUGAUGGUCUGAUGAAUGAAAAAAAAAACUUAUCCUGUGGAGUACUUUCUUAUUUGUGCUGAUGCAAAGCUGAAAAUUGGAGCAGCAUGAGAUUCAGUUUUCAGUUCUGACUGAAUCCUUAUUAACUUUUGAUUUAAUUCUGAUUAGCUACCGGUUCAUAUGCUGUCAGUGACUCUGUUUUAAGUGUUUCUAACUAUGCCUGUCCAUGCCCAUUCUAGGAAUCAAAGAUUGAUAACUAGCCUUUUGAUACCAUAGCCUUUUGAUUCAAAUAUUGAUAAGGUGCUUUGACGGUAUCAGUGCUACAAUUAGAUACCAUAGCCUUUUGAUUUUUUGUUACCCUUAUUAGCUAAGGGUAUUGUAGUAAAUUUGCCGCCCCUCAUGGUAACUAAGGGUAUUGUAGUCAUUCUCGAUCUUUGCUUUUAAUUCAGAGUUUCAGACAUACGUGUUCAUAGCUAUUCAGGGGAAGCAUUAGUUUUGUGUUAAUGAUAGUGCUUUUGGAGUCCGUGUUUAUUUUAAUUUGCGCUACGCCCAAUUAUGAACUUAUUUGUUUCACCUUCUCAUUGUCCUAUUAUGAAUUUCCUCUGUGCUUGGCUAUAGGUAUUCCAGAAGGAUAUAGCUAGCUGAAAGAAUUAUGUUUGUGUUUUCUUUGGAAUUGGAUGUUUGAUGAAAUUCAUAAUAGGGAUGUCGUCUCUUGUUUGUGUAGCCAGAGAAUGGUGUGCGUCACCUUCUCACCCUCCUUUCCUAUUUUUUGGAGUAUUUACUGCUUUUGUUCUUUUUAGUUCACUUCCCAUUUUCCUCAAAUUGACUAUGCCUUGGGUUACUAACCUGCUCAUCAUGCUUCCCGACAUUGACACUGGGAGUACCAGCCUGCUCAUCAUGCAAAGUUUUUUCCCUCUUUCUAAGACCAAUUUAUCUUCCUGCGCAUGGCUCUUCCUUAUAGAUUCAAUUGCUGAAUAAUGGUUAUCAGGUUAUGGAACGGCCAUAGCUUUCACUACUAUGACAUUCUAGCUCCAGUUAUACUUGUUAGUAAUAGAUGUGCUAUGAACAAUGAUUUUAUAGUGUUGGCAAUUGAAUCACAUUUGAUCUUGCGAUAUCUAAAUAUAAUGAUUUAAUUAUGCUUGUUUUCUAUGAAUAAAAAAGAGGACUGCAAUAUCAUAAUCAAGGAUAGUAAAUUAGCUUGGAAAAGUGGCAUUACUUAUUUUGAAUAUCUUAAACCUAUGAUGUUGGGAAAAUGAUGGCACAUUUAUUGGCAACUCAAAGACAUGGUAAAAGAUGGGGGCUACUGAAGUUUUGCAGCCAUGUACGGUAUGUGGCAAUAGGAACCUUUUUGGAUGGUUAGCAAAUUAUCCUUUUAGUAAGAUGUCAUUUUUGGUGUGUUUUUCAUGUUGUUACACUCUUCUGUGUUCUCAUCAUCAGGUGGAAACCUAAUCUCUAUUAGGUGGAAAUGUAUUCUCUAUACAUGUACUAACCAUAAAGAAAAUAUAUUUAGAAAUUAGAAUUUAUAAUGUAGGAUUGGGCUUGAAAUAUUUGGACAGAAACAAGGUGUACCUCCAAAAAUCCCUGCAUUUAGUUGAGCUCUUGCUAUGCUUGGGUGGAUUUCGUUCUUUGUUUGUAUAGGAUUGGCUUCCUCUUCUGUGGAGAUCAAGGUGAUUUGAUUGCCAUAUGUAGGGAAAGGAAGAAUAACUGAAUUGGCAGGUAAGUUUGAAAAUCCAUAACCAAACAUUUUGAUGCUGUACCAAACAAAGAACAUGUUGUGAAUCUAGGCAAACUAUACUUUCUGUUUGUCUAUGUUUACAGUUUUCAAAAAAAAUGGAAGCGCUACAAUGUUUGUCAUGACUGAUGACAAUGGAUGUUAAUUGGUCAGUAUGGUGUGCAUAUCUGAUAAUGCAACCAACUCUUGCCAAUACAUGGCUCCUGCUUUGACUGUAGUCAUUAGAUUCUCUGUUGAAAUUUUUUAUUUUAUCAGUUCUUACUUCCGGAAAAGACUACAUAGCUUGUGAGGCGAACGCCCCAGGGCCGCUACCAGUGUGCAUCCAGAUAAGCGGGAAUAUUAUAACUUGUUUUGGUCUGGUGUAUCCAUUUGCUCUGGUGCGAUUCGCACAAGGAAUAAGUUAGGUUGUGUUGGUACUAUUUGGAUUUACUGUUUAGUCGAACCAGGUAUAGUUUGCUUCCAUGUGACAACUUAAUUCCAAUUUAUUUUAUUGUCUUGUACUACCAGAAUUUUUGUUUACAUUAAGGCACGAUUGCUUCAAUAGGAAAGCAUCAGAGUCACAUCUUCUGAACUUUACUCGUGCAUAAAGAAACGGUUUCACACUAAUUGCUUUGGUGAAAUUACAAAGUAUAUAACCUUGACCUCUAUUUUGGGUAUGCUACCGUUCUCAAAUUACUAUACUUUUAUACAUAUUCUUUUGUUUUUGUGUACAAUUGCAGUGGCCCACAUUGCACCCAUUUUUUGUUGCCUUGUCUUUCAUAAUGUAUUCGUGCAGGUAUAUGAGUUCAUUCUAUCAGCAGAGUUUCACCUAGCAGCUAGAGCAUUGAGUGGAGCUGGCGGAUAAUCUACAAGUAUAUACCUUUUCCUCCUCUUCGUGUGCAUGUAUCUUAUCCUUCUGUAUGAAGAGAAUACUAAUCUAGAAGACAUAGCUAAAAGGGAAAAAAAUGCUAAGACCCAAAACUUAUAGGCAAAAAAUAAAAAAAAAUGCAUACUUCCACUGUUCUUUUCUUUGAUGUUUGCAGAGUUGAGUUAGUACAUUCUGACCCACGCCGAGCAGAGCUUGGAUCGAGUCUCCAUGUUAGUAUGUUAUGAGAAAAUCAUUGGUUUUAAAAUUUUAAUUUUGAUUUUGCUUUAUGGAUGUGUUUGUAUAAUAAACAUAAUAACUCUGUCCUUUAUGUGAAACAUAUAUUUCUUAGUUUGGACUAGGGAUCAUGUGUUGCUUGGGGUAUGUUUUAAAUUUAUUCGUGGCGUUAUCACGGGUACCUUACUAGUCAUAAGUAAAAGCAUCGAUUUAGAUCAACUUCAAGUUCAAUUAUCAUGUGAGGGUCCAAGCCGCUCAUGACCGUGAGCACGAUUGAUAUAUUAGUUUUACCCACCUCUAAAAAUUGCAUUUGUAGGGGCGGGUCACCCUCUUACCCACCCCUGAAAAUUGGGUGCCCCUACAAAUGGCAUUUUUAGGAGAGGGUCAUCCCCUCACCCUGUGCAAAGUAGUGUGGUUAAACCUAUACAUGAGCCCAUGUCAAGAGCAGUACCUUGGAAUUAAAAUCUCACAUUCACACUGUAAAAUUUUAUCGAUAUUGAUCGAAAUUUGUUGGAGAUGACUUAAUAUGACUGACAAUUACUCUGUACAAAGCAGUGUGGCUAGACCUGUACAUGGGCCUCAUGUUAAGAGCCGGAUCCUGAAAUUAAAACAUUGCGUUCACACUAUAAAAUUUUAUCGAAAUUGACCGAAAUUUAUUAGAGAUGACUCAGUAUGAUUGACAGCUACUCUAUGCAAAAGCAAUGUGGUUAGACCUACACAUGAGCCCCAUAUCAAGAGCCGGACCGUGAAAUUAAAUCCUCGCGUUCACACUAUAAAAUUUUAUCAAAAUUGACCGAUUUUUUUUUGAAAUGACUCUGUAUAAUUGUAGCUACUCUAUGUAAAAUAAUAGGACAAGAUCUACAUUAUAAAAAAAUUAGAAAAAAUUCUUAUUGGUUGUAACCAUAGUUUGGCUAAUAAUUUAUUAUGUUAUGAGUUCAAAUAUUUGAGUUGAAUUGGUGUGUGGUGGUGAUUCGGAGUGGAGUGAAGUCUUAUAGUUUGUCUCAUCAAAAUGGAGUAGCGAUAAUGCUAAUAGUAAGACGUCCGACCGAAUCGAAAUAUCGGACAGCCCACUCAUCACGUGUCCAGUUCUCCAGACCACGCGUACCUGCCUUCUCUAUCCUUCCAUUGUUCUUUUUACUUUUUUUCUCGGCCGCGUUUCUCCACCGCGCAUGCCCCUACUCUUCUGCUCCCAGGCCCAGCACACGUCGCCUCCCAAGUCCCAACGCUGCAGGGUUGCAGGCCGUGCUUUUCCCUGUGCCGCGCGCUUCCCUUAUCGCUGUCGGCGGCGGCCACGGCCAUGGCGACGAGUGCGGAGCUGGCCCUGCUCGCGAGCGCGACGAAGCUGCAAGUAGAUCUGCCGGCUGGAGCUCCUCUCCCGUGGUGGGCGCCGCGACGUCGACGGGCCCUCGAGCACCAUCCCGUCAGCGUCGCAGAAGAACGCCAACACCUACCUGCCGGCCUCCAACAGAGCCAUCGCCGCCGUGGCCGGCGGCGCCUGCUCCCACGGCUCGCCUUUGGGAGCACCACAGCUGCUUUCUUCUAUGUUGCAGUAGAUUUUUUUUUAAUGUAGAAAUAGUUGAUUCGAGACGUUAGUGUCGAGAUUCAUAUUGCCGCAGGGGUGUUCUUUUAGCUAGUUGAUUUUGUGGAGGAGUUUUUUUUUCUUCAUAUGAAUUUGAUGUUGUUUUGAUGUUGCACGUUUUUUGAAUGAAUAUUGUAUGAAACAGAGCUA